GUGGAGGAAUGUGGUGCAGAUAAAGCAAUUAUCAGUCUGGGUUUGAGUGAAGUCUUCCCUGUGACCACCCCUAUGGGAUUGGUUCUCCAAGAUGUGAAGGGUGGGGAAAAGAAUGGCCCCAACAGAAACCCUUGUUUCACCUCGGUCGUGAUAAGAGUGUUUACCAACUGUGGAUCGUCUAACGUGGAUUGUAGGUUGUCGCAUUCCAG